rnacentral:sRNA from 1 species
CCCGGCGAUAAAUCGCCGGGCUACAGGCAUUCUGUCCCUACGGGACG